ensembl:lncRNA
GCCUGGGGAGGGUCGUGUGGUCCGCAGCCCACCGUGCUGGGCAGAGCUGUCCCCGCGUGGGAUCGCGGACCGGAGGCCCGGCGCUGACUCAAAGCGGCCUCGAGUUCCGAGCUGCGGUGACUCAUCCUGCCCACGGCGGCUACGUGGCUUUUCCCCCCUUUUUUCAGAAUACACUUUUUAAUUCUUUAACUAGUUGAAGAAAAUGUUUCUGUCCACAUUAUAUUCUUUUAUAAGAGGGACAGCAGUAUAUUUUUAAAAGUAAUGGUUUCUUUUCUUUUUUUUUUUUUUUUGGUAUCCGGGAUCGAACUUGGGUCCUUGCGCUUGCGAGGCAGGCGGCUGAACCACUGAGCUAGAUCCCUGGGCCUAAAAAAGUAAUGAUUUCUUAAAUUGCAUUUUGAGAGAAUGUCACAUACCCUACAGGUGGAAUUGUGUGGCAUUUCUGGAGAGCAGAGUUUAAAGCAACCGCUGCUCAGUUGUUGAAAUUAAAUUUUUGAUACUAGCAGAUCUUGGCUUCUGUGAAAAGAGAUUUGUGACAGGUUAUUUAGAAAGGGCAGAUAGUACUCUAUGGUGUUGGUGGAAAUUAACCUUACAUUUUUGCAUUGAUUAUGUAAAAGGUACCUUCAUAGUAGCUAGGAAAUUGGUGUAAAUAAGCGUUCUUGGUUUUUUAAAGUUCAACUGAGUGUACUAUUUAGUCAGAGUUCUGAGCGUGAACAUUUCACUCUGCCAGAACUACUAAAGCCUGACCAUACAGACUGCUUUCUUAGGAUCUCAAUGAGCUUUCUGCUGAAAUAAGGACAAUCUGAAAUAGGCAUUUGCUACAGGCACAGGUUUUCUUCUGUUUUUGCUAUGUAAUCUAGGCUGGCCUUGAACUUACUGUGUGGCCCAGGUUAGCCUGGGACUGGGGAGUCUUUUGCCACAGCCUCCUGAGUAGCUGGAUUACAGGUGUGGGCCCUAUGCCCAGUUGACUGAUUUUGAUUUUUUUCAUUUUUUGUUUUGGUACCGGGAUUGAACUCGGGUCCUUGUGCUUUCCAGGCAGGCGCAGGAAGCACUGAGCUAAAUCUCCGGCCCAGUUGACAGAUUUUUUUUUUUUUUUUUUUGGUACCGCGGAUUGAACUUGGGACCUUGCGCUUGCAAGGCAGCCGCCAGAACCACUGAGCUAAAUCCCCGGCCCUCCAGUUGACUGAUUUUCAAACAGUAAGUUGACUUCAAAUAAAGUUGAGAGGGUAAAAAGAAAGGAGAGAGGGGCCGGGGUAAAGGACCUGAGUUCGAUCCCUGGUACCAAAAAAGAAAGACAGCAAGUAUGGGAGUUUUUCUGUUUGUUUUUUUUGGGGGGGUGGUUAGUAGUGGGGAUUGAACCCAGGGCCUUCACCCUGAGGUGCAUCCCCUGCUCCUUGAUAAUUUGAGACAGGCUCUUGCUAAAUUGCCCAAGCUAGGCUCAAACUUGAAAUCUUCCUGCUGGGGAUUUAGCUCAGUGGUUCCAGCGCCUGCCUCGAAAGUGCAAGGACCCGAGUUCGAUCCCCGGUACCAAAAAAAAAGAACUUGACAUGAAAUCUUCCUGCCUCAGCCUCCCAGAGUGAUAGGAUUACAGGCCUGUGCCACCAUGCCUUGCUUGGGCAGUUUGUGUUAAAAGUGACAAGAAAAAUCCCUAUUUCCAUCUCCUACAUACACCAUUUUUUCAUAAUGAUUUGAGUAGUUUUGUGGACAUUAAAGUGUAUUGCUGGGCCGGGGAUUUAACUCUGUGGCGCUGAGCCUGCCCCUAAUGCGCAAGGUCCUGAGUUUGAUCCCCAGUAUCAAAAGAAAAGUGUAUUGCUCAUGUGAAUUAAGUUUUUGGAGACAUUUGAAAUGACUUGUUUUUCUAUAGAAGAACUUUUUUUAUAGAUGGAGGAAUUUCAAUAAAGCUUAAUUCAGACAAAAAUAUCUCCUAAAAGAAACAAGUUCAACUAUGGAAGCACUGAGGGUUUUCAGAGCAUCACAUAUGUGGAAGUCUUAGAGGUUGGAGAUGUAUUUCUAGUGGGUUUUUAGCUGCUGUGCAGAAUCCAGAGACUGACCAGAGGCCUCCCCUGCCCGUCUUCUUUUCCCAGUGUUGCCUUGAAAUGCCCAGCCUGCUGGCCACAGCCACUCCUCCUGUGCCCUCAGGGCCCCCUUGCCUCUUGCAGUUUGGCCCAUGAAAGUAGGAGGAAGAUGUGCUUGGGCGUUGGUCCAUUGUGCAGCUCUGUGCUCCGAGGAAUAAAGCAGCAGUGGUGUUACUGUGGCACUGGCUCUUCCCUGGGAGUCGCUCUCUGUGGGCUUUGGAAACAUUGGCUUUUAAGGCUUGCCCAGCAAGUUGAUGACUCAGUUGGAAAACCCAGGCCUGCGAGUGGUGCUUUCUGCUGUCCCUCUGCGUGGCCAUGCAGCAGGACUGUGACCACGGAUGUGGCAUCCGGUGAGGUGGCCACCAGCCACGUGUGACUUGGAGUACCUGACAAGUAACUGGUGCACCUGAGGAAGCGCAGUGUGUGUGUGCGGCGCCUGGUCACGCUGCUGCAUGCAUGUGAGACAGCCAGGAUGUAAUGUGAUCGGUACCAAUUUAUUGCAGUAGCCGCCUGUGGCCGGCAGCUGCCGGAUUGGACAGCACUGACUGGCAAGAGCUUUGCCCACACUAAGUUUGAAAUUAUGUAAUUUAACUAAUUAGACUCAGUUUAAUAAUCUCUUGUUCAUGUACAAAUUGGAGAGGUAGCUUUUAACUUUUUUCCUACCGUGCCUGAGUAUUUUAUGGCUAUCAAAAGGCAGCACCGUUUCCUUCUUUAUGCUGGGAUUACAGGCCUGCGCCACCGUGCCUGUAGAUUAAUUUGUAAAUCUGGCCCCAGAUUAACUUGUAAAAAACCUCUUCUUGGUCGUAGUUCAUGUGUUCAGCAACCACACUGGCUGAGGCCCCGGCCGGCAGCGUGGGCCAGGCAGCUCUGUCGUCACGAGAAGCUGUCUGGACCCAGCAGUCAGGGGGCAUGCUUGUCUAUAAACUCUCUCCCGCUUACGUCCUCCUCUGGCUGCAGCCUUGUUUCUCUGCUUUUCCUCCAAGCAGAAUUGCGUGCUUCUUCCAUGGCCUUUGCUUGGCCUCUGCACCGCUCAGCCCUGGGACUGACCUAGGGAGGGCCACCCAGGCUUCUGUCUACAAAUCCAGCACUGGGGCUGGGCCCAGACCUUCAGCCUUUUUAAAGAGUAUUUUUUAUUUUGAUACAGGGUCUUGCUGAGUGUCUCUGUUACCCAGGCUGGGCUUGAACUUGCAGUCCUCCUGCCUCAGCCUCCCCAGUGCUGGGAUUACAGGCUCACGCCACCGGGCCUGGCUGUAUAAAAUACUUGAUUCUUCAAACUUCUAAAGGGAAAAGCUACAUUAAAAAAUCGCACCAUACUUAGUAUAGCAUGACUCUGGAGUGGGUCCUCAUGUCUCCGUGUUGGGGGCUUGGAACCCCCUGGAGCUGUGUCAUGGAGGUUCAGGGCUCUGCCAGUGCCAGUGUCUCGGCUUGGUGCGUGCAUCGUGGUUGUACAGGUCCUUGUGUGUAGGGUCUCAGCCGUGCUCGGGAGGAGGGAGACGCGUACUGCACUGGAGCAUAAAGAGCUCUGUUGCUUCUCAGGAGACCAUGGGGUUAUUACCCUUUGCAGACCUGGUUCAAGUCUUUGCUCUCUCGGUAUCAUGGAUCUUGGAUGUGUGAUUUAGAUCUCUAAGACCCUAAGACUUAUGUCGAAGUGUUGAGAGGAGGUAGUGUAAGGCUGUGCUCAGCACAGUGCUUCACACAGUACUUCUCAGUAAAAGGUUACUUAGAUGCUUAUAAAAUUCAGACAUCAAAAAAUGCUUUUCUCAUGUUCAGUGCUGACUUCUUUAUGUAAUAUAAACUCUUGUUGUUGGUUUUGGUUUUGGGUUUUUUGUGGGUUUUUUUGGUACCAGGGAUCAAACUCGGGUCCUUGCGCUUUCCAGACAGGCGGCGGAACCACUGAGCUAAAUUUCCGGCCCCUGUUAUUUUUGUUUUUGUUUGUUUGUUUGUUUUUUGGUACCAGGGUUCGAACUCUGGACCUUGCGCUUGCAAGGCAAAUGCCAGAACCACUGAGCUAAAUCCCUGGCCCUGUUGUUUUUGUUUUUGAGAUUGGGCCUCACCAUGUAACUCAGGCUGGCCUUGAAUUUGAAAUCCUCCUGCCUCAGCCUCCCAAGCAGCUGGGGCCACAGCUGUAUCCCUGAAUACUACUUUUUUCAUUAAUUGCUUUUAUAAUAGUUGACAGUGUGGGACAAGAAUGUACCUAAUGUGUUAUAUAAUCCUCACAUUAGAGCUCUUUGGUCACAUGCUGUAGUUUUUUCGUUUUUUGAGACAGGGUCUUGCUGUGUAGCCCAGGCUGCCUUGAAUUUUCAAUGCUACAACCUUGGCCUCCUGAGUGGCUGGGAUUACUAGUGUGCACCACCAUACCUGGCUACA